rnacentral:tRNA from 1 species
AGGAUAAUAGCUCAGUGGUAGAACACAUGCUUAGCAUGCAGGAGGUCCUGAGUUCAAUUCCCAGUACUUCCA